UACGUAGGGACCAAGCGUUGUUCGGAUUUACUGGGCGUAAAGGGCGCGUAGGCGGCAUGACAAGUCACUUGUGAAAUCUCCGGGCUUAACUCGGAACGGUCAAGUGAUACUGUCGCGCUAGAGUGCGGAAGGGGCAAUCAGAAUUCUUGGUGUAGCGGUGAAAUGCGUAGAUAUCAAGAGGAAUACCUGAGGUGAAGACGGGUUGCUAGGCCGACACUGACGCUGAAGCGCGAAAGCUAGGGGAGCGAACGGG
rnacentral:rRNA from 1 species